rnacentral:misc_RNA from 1 species
ACACCUCAACUCUUCAUGGUUUUCUAUGAUGAGCUUGGACUUUGGGGGGUUUUUGCUGGCCCUAUGGUCGGCUCCUCUAAAAUGAAUCAGCUUGCCAGUGUUUGGUGGGCAUCACGGGUGUGAUAAACUAUCUACGCUUGUGGUUUUCCACCAGGUAACCUUCAGCAAUGGGGGUUCGCUGGGGCUCAUAGACGUCUCUUUCAAC